rnacentral:rRNA from 1 species
UGUGUAGGUGGCAGUAUUAGUCUUCUGUUAAAGACCGGGGCUCAACCCCGGGAGUGCGGAGGAAACGGUACAGCUAGAGGGUAUGAGAGGUGUGCGGAACUCAUGGUGUAGGGGUGAAAUCCGUUGAUAUCAUGGGGAACACCAAAGGCGAAGGCAGCACACUGGCAUAUUCCUGACACUGAGACACGAAAGCGUGGGUAGCGAACG